rnacentral:rRNA from 1 species
AGAGUUUGAUCCUGGCUCAGGAUGAACGCUAGCGGCAGGCUUAACACAUGCAAGUCGAGGGGCAGCAUAAUGGAUAGCAAUAUCUAUGGUGGCGACCGGCGCACGGGUGCGUAACGCGUAUGCAACCUACCUUUAACAGGGGGAUAACACUGAGAAAUUGGUACUAAUACCCCAUAAUAUCAUAGAAGGCAUCUUUUAUGGUUGAAAAUUCCGAUGGUUAGAGAUGGGCAUGCGUUGUAUUAGCUAGUUGGUGGGGUAACGGCUCACCAAGGCGACGAUACAUAGGGGGACUGAGAGGUUAACCCCCCCACACUGGUACUGAGACACGGACCAGACUCCUACGGGAGGCAGCAGUGAGGAAUAUUGGUCAAUGGACGCAAGUCUGAACCAGCCAUGCCGCGUGCAGGAUGACGGCUCUAUGAGUUGUAAACUGCUUUUGUACGAGGGUAAACGCAGAUACGUGUAUCUGUCUGAAAGUAUCGUACGAAUAAGGAUCGGCUAACUCCGUGCCAGCAGCCGCGGUAAUACGGAGGAUUCAAGCGUUAUCCGGAUUUAUUGGGUUUAAAGGGUGCGUAGGCGGUUUGAUAAGUUAGAGGUGAAAUUUCGGGGCUCAACCCUGAACGUGCCUCUAAUACUGUUGAGCUAGAGAGUAGUUGCGGUAGGCGGAAUGUAUGGUGUAGCGGUGAAAUGCUUAGAGAUCAUACAGAACACCGAUUGCGAAGGCAGCUUACCAAACUAUAUCUGACGUUGAGGCACGAAAGCGUGGGGAGCAAACAGGAUUAGAUACCCUGGUAGUCCACGCAGUAAACGAUGAUAACUCGUUGUCGGCGAUACACAGUCGGUGACUAAGCGAAAGCGAUAAGUUAUCCACCUGGGGAGUACGUUCGCAAGAAUGAAACUCAAAGGAAUUGACGGGGGCCCGCACAAGCGGAGGAACAUGUGGUUUAAUUCGAUGAUACGCGAGGAACCUUACCCGGGCUUGAAAGUUAGCGACGAUUCUUGAAAGAGGAUUUCCCUUCGGGGCGCGAAACUAGGUGCUGCAUGGUUGUCGUCAGCUCGUGCCGUGAGGUGUCGGGUUAAGUCCCAUAACGAGCGCAACCCCUACCGUUAGUUGCCAUCAGGUGAAGCUGGGCACUCUGGCGGGACUGCCGGUGUAAGCCGAGAGGAAGGUGGGGAUGACGUCAAAUCAGCACGGCCCUUACGUCCGGGGCUACACA